UGUAUAUGUGUGUGUGUAUAAUUGGAUACAUAUGUGUUUAAUAUAAAAUUAAAUCUAAUUAUAUGCAACAUGUCACUUCCAUAGUUUUUUGGUGAGAAGCUUUAAAAUCUACUCUUUAAGCAAUUUUGAAAUAUACAAUACAUUAUUAUUAACUAUGGUCAGCAUGUUAUGCAAUAGAUCACUGAAUCUUAUUCCUCCUGUCUAACUGGAAGUGAAAUAAGCCAGGCACAGAGAACAAAGGCUUUUGAAAUAGCUGUCUUUGACUCAUGGUCAAAGUCACUCUGUCCUCAUUUUAGCAAACCCAUCGUACCACAGCCAAGGAGCUGGCCGGGGCCUCAUACUGUCACUUGUUUCGGAUAGCUGAGCUUCAAUUCUGUCCGUAGCCUUGUUUUACAUCUCGAACCACAGUUUCGACAACUCAGUCCUUCUGUUUCCGGAGUGCCUUGUCUAGGCUUCCUAUUUCUCCAGGUGCUUGCAACCCUCCAGGACUGGUUGUUGUCCUUAAAUUCCUUCUCAAUUACUAGAAUUUUCCUACUUAAAGACCCUUCCUACUUCUGUGACACUGAUUUUCCCUCCACAUGGUCACAAGCUAUUGAAGGGGUGGCUUCGGAUACCUGCUGAAAAACCCACAUUCAUUCAUUUUGCACCUUUUGAGGCUCUGGGCCUCAGGUCAUAUCCUGAGGAGAGUGUUGUCUAACUAUUGGCUUUUUUCUGUAGUGCUGCUGCUAUGUGGGUGGCUGCUCCCAGCAUAUUCAUCUGACAGCGUGAUAAAUGGUGUGUUGUCUAGGGGACAGGCCUAGGCUGAGAUGUGAGCUACUAGUUUAGAGCUUGUCAACCGAGACAUGGAGUUUUGAAGCCAUCCAGGGAGAGGGUGACUGAGUAGCUGAGAGGGCUGUCGCAGGGUUGAUGGGGACAUUGAGAGCCAGGGGUGUGCCAGGAACAGGAUCUGGAAAGGAAUAGAGGAGCCAUGAUGGGGAGAAGAGAGCCAGUGAGGGUACACUGCUGUAGGGAGGGUUUCCAGGGUUUCCAGAGGGUGUGGACAGAAUGGCUCAAAAGCCAUGUCAAGGGACAGAAUACUGUUGGUGUGCCUCAGUUGGAAAGAGCCCAGAGAUGAGCUGGCCAGUGGGUUCUGUUGGUAAGUAGUCAUGUGACCUCUGCCAAGCCAUUAUUCUCUUUGUGCCUCCAUUUCUUGGGCAAAGGGAGGAGGCUGGACUAAGUGAACUCAAGUUAGUCUUUAUGGCUCUAAGAGGACACUGUCAUAGUGGACACAAGACCCGGCGGGCGCCAUCACCUCUCCUUUAUCACUCUCCCACUAGAGCCCCUUGGAGGGCUGGGCGCGGCCCCCAUGCUCUGUCUGGCUUCUUCCUCUCCCUCACACUCCCCGCUCUCUCCUUCACUCUCUGUGCUCCUGAUGCCACUUACACUCUGUCCUUCCCCACUCAAUUAGAAAUCCUGGCUAAUACAAUUAGACAAAAUACUACAUAACAAUAAGGUAAACAUGAGAGGGAGAAAGAAAAUUCUAAUUAUCUGCAGAUGACCAUACUAUCUAUACAAAUAAACUGGGAGUCUCAGAUCAACUAACAGAACUCAUAAGAGAGCCCACCACGACUGCAGGAUCAAUAUAAAAACAAUAGUAUUCUUAUGCAUCAACAUUGACCAAUUAGAAAAGGUAAUUUUAAAAAUUACUGUUUAAAAAUUUUCUCCCCCAGCAGCCUAGACAUCCUGUUGCGUGCAUACUGGUGCCCAGGUAAUGUAAACAGGAGAACAGUUAAGAUCCUGCUGGUCGGUUGCCUGGAUCUGGUGGUCUCUUCUUGCACCAAAGCCAUCUUGUUUUAAAGUUACAGGUUUCUAGGAAGACUUAGUGUCUGGGAGGCCAAGUACCUCUUCUUGUUCAGAAUGUUUUUAGCUCACUUUUUAUUACGGAUCAGUUUGUCAUGUUCAAUGAAAAGUCCAUUUGGGUUCUGGAUUUAAAUUAUAUUGAAUUUCUAAAUUUUUGUUAUGAAAGAUAUUUAAAGCCUAAGAAUUAAUGAAAGGGUCGUGUAUAAAACAUCCAGAAAUAUGCUCUUUUUGUGUUUCGUCUUUUCAUCAAAUGGCAUGGCAUGUCUAUCAAAGAAUUCUGAUUACUUUUUGUUCCUUCGGAGACUCUUUUUUUUCUUCAUAAAAUCAAUAAUAAUUUUCGUUAGACUCAAUCUUAGGUACCUAAAGUCUUUUUGUUGUUUUAUAAACAGAAUUUUAAAAAUUACCUUUGCUAAUUGGUCGGUGUUUAUAUAUAAGAAUACUAUUGUUUUUAUGUUGACCUUACAGUGUCCGUGGGCUCUUCUGGGUUCUGUUAGUUGAUCUGAGACUCUCAAUUUAUUUGUAUAGAAUUUUCUUUCUCCCUUUCAUAUCCUUAAUUUACCUUAUUCUGAUGUAGUAUUUUGUCUAAUUAUUUUAGCCAGGAUUUCUAAUUGAGUGGGGCAGGACAGAGUGUAAGUGGCAUCAGAUGUUUAACUUGAUGGGAACAUGGAAGAUUCCAGUAAUACAAUGUUUGCUUUAUCAUUGUUACUAUUUAUAAUAGAACCAAUUAAUCAGGAUAAGGUCCUUUUGUCUGUCUGGAAUGUUCUUGUCCCCAGGUUGCAUGUCCUUAGAACGAUCUUUCCUGACCCCUAUCUGUCACUUCAUAAGGCAACAUCACUCACCUUGCUUGAGUGUUUCCAUGGCACUUAGGGCAACUUAUAGAACCUUAAAUUACAGGACACACCCCUCUCUUUGUUUAUUGAUUGUCUGCUGCUGGAACAUAAACUUCUGGGCAGGGACAUGACUGUCUCUCCAGUAUCCUAUCCUUACCCUUAGCAGAAUGCUGUCCAGCCAUUGGCAGCCAGUAGCUUCUCAUUUCAUAUGUUCAUUGACAGAUGACUGUAUUUUCAUCUUCAGGACUACCCAGAGAUUGGACAAUUUUCUAGAAGAACCCACGGAACUUGUGACAGCCGUUAUCGCUGUGAUUAGGGAUUGCUACAUGGGGAGAAUACAGAUGCACUUUGGCAAAGAGAAGAGCCCAGGAAAACCGCCAGACAUGGAGCCCCUGUUGUCCUCUCUCUGUGGAGUCAUGGCUGGUGCUGCUCUCCUACAACCACAUGUCACAAUGGCCAAAGAGAAUUAUCUAUUGCCGAAGCUCAACUGAGCCUUUGAUGUUCAGAGUUCUCCACUGGGGCUCAAUCACGUCCUGCCUGCACAGCUGACCUUUAGUCUCCAGCCUUCCGAAGGUGAGGCUGACACUUUUAUUCUCCAGUCCCUCUGGAGGUAGCACUGACAUCACAGGGCUCUAAGUUCCCAUCAUAAACCACAUUCAGACUGUCCUGGGGUCUAAGCCCCCAGAUAAAUAAACACACUCUUCUCGGGCAGGACAUUCCAAGGGCCUAGGUCACCUUCCAGCAGUUGAGGGCAAGGCCAGACCUCAUAUAAGGUUAACUCUAAACUGUACAGUGGCUUGAGUGUAGCUCAUAGUCAGCAACAUGCACCAAGCACAGACAGCUAGCACGUGCAUGGUCUGGACCCAGUGCCAGACCCUGUUCUGAGUGCUUCCCUUACAUGACUUCACUCAUUCGUUUAUGAGCGGGGCACCAUCCUACCCCAGCUUUCCAAGUGCAGAGACGAAGGCACAGGAGGGAGGCUGAAGUACAAAGGAAUUUGAGCCCAAGGGGUCUGCCUCCUGAGGCUGGCUCUCAGCCAGGAGACCUGUGCUUCUCAAACGGGAGCGAUUGCACCCCCCGGGGACAUGUGAUUGUGUCAGGAAACAUCUUCCAUUUGUCACAGCUUGGUCGGGUAUGGGGGAAUGCUACUGUCAUCUCGCGGGCAGAAGCUGGGGAUGCUGCUAAUCACCAUACAACGCACAGGGCAAAGAAUUAUGCAGCCCAGUUCCGAGCCUGAGAAGCCGCAUAUCACCCAACAUGGCCUCUCUGUAAUGCCUUUUAAAUAACCAGCUCUUAAGCCCUCAGUGAGCAGAACUGUAUGAAGUUGCCACGGCACGACUGAAGAGUGAUGUUGGCAGUUUUGAUCAGGAAAGAGGAGUAAUUUUUCAGUGUGUGCCCCUGAGAAAGUAUAGGCAACAACAAGGGUGGGGACCCUGGGUGUGGGUCAACAACCUGGUUUGGGAGGAGUCACUGGGAAAAUAAGGAAAAUGGAGCGAAAAAGACCCCAAACCUUCAAGAGAUUUGCCCUCACAGGUUUUGACUGUAAGGGGUGGGGUUUUCCAAACGUCAUUAUUUUAGUUCGGCACAAACCACCCCCAUCCCGAAGGUUCCCUCUGCUCUGUGCUACUGGCACUCAACCCAGCUGAUGCCAUUCCACGUAGCUGCCUCCCAGAUGAAAACUCUUUUAAAACAAUAUAACCUCUGAGUGAAGUCUGCGCAGUAACCUGCAGAGUUUCUGGCUCCCGGAGUUCGGGGCAGCAUUUGCAUUUGACAGGGAAGUCUUUUUGGUCUGCCUCUUGCCUGACUGCCUUGUGAAAUGCCUUUCAUUUGUGCUUCCAAUUCCCCAUUGAUAGAGCUGUUAGGAUGGCUGUGAGGGUGAUGCUGCGAUUGUGUUUCAUUUUUCUGAAUGGUUUAAAAAUACAUGAGCAUGUUGAACUCAAAAUUAGCAGAGGAGUAUGUUUUCUCUGUCCUGGUGCAUCUAGUAAGUGGGAUCAUUUUUAUUUUUAAGAAAUCAGUGGCAGAGUGUAUCUCUCCCUCUCUGUCCAGCUCAAUUACACAACACAGCAAGGAUUUCUACCCAUAAUUGCUGUGGCGCCCACCAGUCCCACCGGAAGGAACAGGGAAGCUUGGAAUUCCAGAAUGUGUUUAUUGGAGUCCUGUCACUGAUUUCAAAAAGAGCAGUCAUUUGUCCCAUGGGUAGACAUUGGAUCUGUUUCUAGUGCUGCUGUAACUAAGCCUCUUUCAAGUUGUGUUCCAUGGCUUAGAACAAAUAGAAGAUAUUUAUUGUCUCAGCUCUGGAGGUCAGAAGUCUGCAGAAGUCUGAAAUCACAGUGUCAGCAGGGCUGUAUUCUUUUGGAAGACUCUAGAGGAGAAUCCUCCCCUGCCUCUUCCAUCUUCUGGUGUCACUGGUAUUCCUUGGCUUGCAGACACAUCACUCCAUCUCUGCCUCCGUCUUCACGUGGUAGCUCCUCUGUGGCUCUUCUCCUCUUCUUAUAGUGACACCAAUCAUAUUGGAUUACAACCACCCUAAUGACCUCAUCUUAAUUGGAUGACAUCUGCAAAGACCCUGUUUCCAAAUAAGGUUACAGUCACAAGUACUGGGGUUUAGGACUUGAAGCUAUCUUUUCAGGGGACACAGUUCAACUCCUAACUGACAACGGUUCCCUAAGUGGGUGCUCUCUGGUAGUAGGACAGGCAUUUCCAUCUUGUGGAGUGCUGCUCUGAGGUUCACUCCUCCUUCUUAGAUUUGGAAAUUGCUCUUGAUGUUGACUUUCCCUUAACCUUCAAAUCCACCUUGAAAUUAAAUGUGGGCUAUGAAAGUUUUGAGGCUUUUAUCAGGUUGGUGCAAAAGUAAUUGGGGUUUUUGCCAUUAUACAAACCUGUUUCUCUAAGGAAUUAGAGACGUUCUUGUGUGUGAAUAUCAUGUUGAAACAAAUAAACACUCAUGAAUGUAAAGAGAAAAUAACUGGUCCAAUCACAUUGCUGUGUAAAUAAACAGAGUGCUGUCAAGGCAUGUUAGCAUGCUAGAUGUUGUUGAUUUAUCUCUGCCCUUCCUGUCAUGGAAGUGUUUCUUGUUGGUUCUUACAUUCAUGGCAUUGAUUAAAUCCUUCUUGCCUGUUACAUUAAAACAAACAAACAAACAAACAAAAAAACAAAACUUUGACUCACUUUGUAAACCCUAAGCUUUUAAGUGAUGUUUUAUUUGAUGAUUUUGUUUUUCUUUCUUUUUUUUUUAAUUGAGAUGGGGGUCUUGCUAUAUUGCCCAGGUUGGUUUUGAACUCUUGGCCGCAAGCAAUCUUCCUGCCUCAGCCUCCCAAAGUGUUGGGAUUGCAAAUGUGAGCCACCGUGCCCAGCCUGUUUAAUGAUUUUCUGACAAGCACGGAUCCACUUCAUCUCAGCUGAUAAUUACUGACUUAGGACCCUCCUCUGAGAUGGUUUUUUUUCAGGCAGGUUGGAUUGCCUGGAAUGUCUUCUGCUCAUUCAUGGGCUUAAAGAGCCAUCAGUGUGGUCAGGAAGGAUAGGAAAGCUGACCCACAUUUGCAUCUGACUCCAGCUUUCUGCAUUUCUCUUGUACUAAAGCUCAUUGAAUAGAGUUCAACAGAAACUUUUAUUCCUGACAACCCCAUUUCAGCCUUGGCAGGGAGACCAUACUGAAGUUAUUUUACAGAUUUGUUAAAUUACCACCAACUCGAAAGGCUAACAUUUUUCUCUAGGAAGGAGAGCCUUUCUUUGUCCUGUUACCUAAAAGGAUGUCAGACAUUCAGCAUGUGCAUAUGUGUCCUUUCUUACAAAAAUAGGACAUCAGUGUGCAAACAUCUUUUUUUAUUGAAAAUGAGCGAAAAUGAAAGAAAAUAAAGGCCUCUCUUAGCCUUUGAACUGGUGCAGAAUCCUUUUGCUUUUCCUCUAGUGCAGUCACUUGGAAUGCGACCAAAGAAUGUAUUUACCACUGGAAGAACCGAGUAGCAUAUGAAUGAAAGUAGAAAAAUGCAACCUAGAAAGCCUGUCUCUGUGCACCCAAGAAACUCUUCUCUGUGUGCUGCUGUGUGCCAGGAUGAUUUUUCAGUGUGGGCAUUUGGACUUACUAUGAAGAAGCACACACCUAAGAAAAAUUAAACAGUAAUUAAAAUUAUUUCCAUUAACAAUAAAGAGGAGGAUAUGUUUUUGUUGUUUAAUAACCACACCUAUCCUGAUGACACCUGUGCAUUUGAGGGAAGUGCAGCUGAGCUGGGCUCAGCCUGCAGUGUGUUUAUUGGGAGACCUCCAUGUUUCUGGCUCUUUGGAGCAGAGGAGGCAUUUCUGAGUUAUCCCUACUGUGAGUUCCCAGCCAGAGCGUUGAGAAACCAAACUGGCUGAUGUGGUUUGGCUCUUUCCCUACCCAAAUCUCAUUUUGAAUUGUAGCUCCCAUAGUCCCCAUGUGUCUUGGGAGGGACCUGGUGGGAGGUAAUUGAAUCAUGGUGGAUCUUUGCCAUGUUGUUCUGGUGAUAGUGAGUAAGUCUUAUGAGAUCUGAUGGUUUUAUAAAGGAAGGGGAGAUCCCCUGCACACACUCUCUUGCCUGCCACCAUGUAAGACGUGACUUUGCUCCUCAUUUGCCUUCUGCCAUGAUUGUGAGGCCUUUCCAGCCAUGUGGAACUGUGAGUCCAUUAAACCUCUUUUCUUUAUAAAUUACCCAGUCUCGGGUAUGUCUUUAUUAGCAGCGUGAGAACAGACUAAUACACUGGCUUGGCUGUCCCUCGAGCUGAGGAUUUACCCUAACCCUCACUUAGGCCUUCCCAGAUCUGAUCUUGCUUGAAUGGACAAUUCUGUUGGUCUUUCUGGAACAUUCUCUCUGCUCCUCCUUUUCUCUGUACUGCUUUUCUUAAGAGGAGCAUGGGCUCCGGUACUGAAAAUUGGCAUCAUGACUAAACUGUCCUCUGGCCUGCACACAGACUUUGUGAUUCUCCUCCCACCCCCAUCUCUACAGCCAAUGUGUGUUAAGGAGUCCGAUGUAAAUUAUUUGGAUAAUGGAUACCCUAAAACCCUGAUUCACCAUUAUGCAAUUUAUGUGUGCAACAAGAUUACACUUGUACCCCAUAACUUUGUACAAAUAAAAAUAAAUACUCUGUGGUCUUUGAGACAUUUUUGCUUGCUGCUCUGUUCCCAGUGCACAACACAGCACCACACACGUAGUGAUCACAUCGCAAAAAUUGUGGGAACAAAUGAGUGUACAAAUACUGCAUCUGUGCACUUGCCCCUUCUACCGUAGAAUGAUCAGAGUCACUUCCAAGGUCCUCCAGUAGCAGGCACCAUGUGGUUACUUUGCAUACACAACUUAUUUGAUCUGUAUAACCCUGUGAGGUAAAUACUAUUAUCACUUGCAUCUUGCUGAUGAAAAAAUUGAAGCCCAGAAAAGUUAACCAACUUCCUCAAAGUCACACAGUGAGGAAGAGGACCAGAAUUUGGACUUGGCAUUCUGCCACCAUCACAUGGAAUGUCCAGAUGCCCACUGUCAUUGGUGACUAGGGUGUCCCCCUCCUGUUGUGCCCUGGCACAUGACAGAUUAUUGUGUGAUGUGAAAGGGACAUAUUUGUGAAUCUGGAUUGUUCUAUUUGAACCACUUUUGGGUUGAUGUUAUUUGGAAAAACUUCGUGGGGAGGGAGCAGUUUCUGCAGAGAUGCCAAAAAUAUGGUACUGUCACUGUUUCGAAUUGCCAGAUGAUAUUUCCAUUUGGAGGUAUUUUUCACUCCUCACAUGAAUCAAUAAGAGAAAUAGGACUAACUUAGCCCAAGGAAUAAUAAUAGCCCAUGUAUGUAUUAGGCAGCAUUACUGUUGGGGAAUCAACUAAAACUGAAAUUCUACUUUCUCCUAAAGAGAUUUAUUAUACAUAGAGUCCUUAUAAUUGUACCUCUUUGUGCUGGUUUUCUCAUCUGGGUCUGCCCUAGCUCCUAUAUGCCUGUCCUUGGCCUCAUUCCUCCCUGUAGGAAAACCUCAUCAGGUGCAAAGGGCACUGGAAGGGCAUUCACUAGGAUGCCACACAGGGUUCAAUCCAGCCACUCGCCAGCUUCUCCCUGUGCGGUGCCAGCCAUGGGUCCUGUGACCUCCCUUGAAGCCUGCCCAGUGCUGCUCACUGUCUCGAGAGCCCCAGACCUAUGUGUGCAGCUCUCAGGGCAUCUGGAAGAGCCUCCUAGGGAAGGCAACACAAGGGCGCAACAAGGAGGUGUGAGUGGGGUCUGGGAUUUGCAGUGUUUUCCUGAAAGAGCUGGACUUUUACAAGGGAGGAAAAAUGUUCUCUGAGUUUCCCAAACAUCUGUUUUUGACUUAGUUUCAAUGGAGGUGUUUUUGAUGGCGGCUAUCUUAGGGCUUCUGCAUCAUCUCCCUUGUGUUUGUCAUGGAAUUCCAACUACUCGAGCAUUAAGUCUUGGAUGCUGUUGUUCUAUCCCAAGAAACAUUCUUAAGAGAAUUUGUGACGAAUACAACUUCGUCUCCAUCAGAACAGAGCUGUGUAUAUGUACCCAUGCAGGCAUGCAGAGAACCUGCUGGAAUGUAAGAGAGUGAAUUAUAGACUUCAGGCUAGAGCAGCAAAUUCUCAGGAAAAAAUAAAUUCAGAGUUUAAAUUAUUUCCUGUGAAAAGUUGCUAAGCAACACUUCACUAAACUCUGGUAUUCUGUAUUUCAAAUAUAUUUUUUCUUAGCAGCAACUAAUAUUAUUUUCACUCAAGUCGUAAAGGGAGGAGUGAAGUACACACCUGCAAAUCCAAUAAAGGCAUUUGCCUGCCGGAGGCUUCACAGUAAACUUUUAGAUUCAUGCUGAAUAAGUAUGGGGGAAAGCAGUUGAAUAUUUUAUACUAUCAUGGUAUUUUUUUCUUGCUCUCUACAUUUGCAGUGCUUUGUUAAUGUGUGUUUCCCAUUGGAACUGUAAUUUUCCUAUUUGUAGAAUGAGUUUGGGUAUUAACAGGUACUGUAGAUUUUAAUUAACUCAUUGCUGUACCAUCAGCUUCCCAUCAGGCCCAGCCUUUGUGUCAUCUUGCUCACAACUGGUAUUCCCAACCCCCAGGCGAGAAACAAGCAUGUGACUCAGAGGCGAGGUAGUAAAGUCCCUGGAAGAGUUGCCAGAGAUGAGGUGGAGAGGCCCCAUCCUGCAUAAGGAAAGUCCAUUUCAUUAUUUUAAACACUGCUCUGGCCAGACAGCUUACCUUCUAUUUUUGUCCAAAGAUUAGUGCCCUCUAAUAGGAGUUUUAGCCAGAAUAAAACAUUUCUCUGAGUUAAAAGUGAAUAUUGAGUUCUCAUCGUUUACUUUUUAGAACUAUUUGGCCUUUGUCUUAGUCCAUUUUGCUGCUAUAACAAAAUACCACAGACUGGGUAAUUUAUAAAUAAUAGAGAUUUAUUUCUCUCAAUUCUGGAGGUUAGGAAGUCCAAGAUCAAGGCACCGGCAGAUUUGGUGUCUGGCGAGAAUGGCUCUCUGCUCCCAAGACAGUCUUGUUGCUGUGUCCUCACAUGUCAGAAGAGAUGGAAAGACCAGGCAGCUAUCUAAGCACUCCAAGGGUAUUAAUUUCAUUUAUGAGGGCGGAGUUGUCAGGUCCUAAUCACCUCCUAAAGGCCCCACCUCUUAACACUGUUGCACUGGGGAUUAAGUUUCAACUUGAAUUUUGGAGAGGGCAUAAACAUGUAAACCAUGGCAGCCUUGGAUUGGAGUUUGUGAGUUUGUAAUCAUUUCCGGAUCUUAGCUUCAGCACCAUAAGCAUGCAGAUGUUGGUAUUUCUCUCUGCUUGUGGACCAUCCCUGGGUCUCCCCCAGGAGAUCUAGAGCUGCCAGCACUGGCUUCCACCCUCUGUAACGGCUUUGAGGUCAUGGCUCCUUUUGCCAUCUCUAAAGAGUGUGACCCAAAUGAGGAAUGGCCAUGGGAGGCUCACCAGGCGCAGAAUUUAGGAGAGAAAAGCUUUGCCAAGAGUGGUGAACAGAGCUAGGAUGCUGUGUUAACAUGCCACUUUGCAAUAUUUGUGGUUGUCUGCUGCAUUCAUGUCCCAGGGCUGCCAGAACAAAGUACCACAAAGUGGCUGGCUUAGAACAACAGAAAUGUCUCAGUUCUUGAGGCCAGAAAUCUGAAAUUAAGGUGCAGUUCCAUGCUCCCUCCGAAAUCCUGGGAGAAUGCUUCUUGCAUCUUCUCAAUAUUCUGUGAUUUGCUGACAGUCACUGGAGUCCCUUGGCUUGCAGCUGUGAUACUCCAAUGUCACGUGUUUUCCUCUAUGUCUCUGUCCUCACAUGCCAGUUUCUUACAAGGACACCGGUUAUAUUGAAUUAGGAGCCCACCUGUAUUAGUUCAUUCUCAUGCUGCUGUAAAGGACUGCUCAGGACUGGGUAAUUUAUAAAGGAAACAGGUUUAAUUGACUUACAGUUCUGCAUGGCUGAGAAGGCCUUAGGAAACUUACAAUCAUGGCAGAAGGUGAAGAAGAAGCAAGGCACCUUCUUCACAAGACAGCAGCAGGGAGAAGUGCAAGAGGCUUAUGAAACCAUCAGAUCUCGUGAGAACUCACUCACUAUCAGAGAACAGCAUGGGGGAAACUGCUCCCAUGAUCCACUCACUUCCCAUCAGGUCCCUCCCACAACACGUAGGGAUUAUGGGAACUACAAUUGAAGAUGAGACUUGGGUGGGGACACAGCCAAACCAUAUCACCACCCCACAACAGUAUGAUGUCAUCUUAGCUAAUUACAUCUACAAUGAUCUUAUUUCCAAAUAAGGUCACAUUCUGAGGUUCUAGGGGGUUAAGCCUUUGGCAUAUCUUUGUUUUGGUGGGGAAGGGGACCAAAAUUCAACCAGUAACAAGUACCAAGGAAGGAACUCAGAUAUGGGAAUCAUGAGAAUCUUAUUUCUACUUUUCCAUUUGCUUUGGAGUGUUUGAAGCCCAGCGGACCUAAAAUUCACAUCUAGACCUAGUCUGUAUGCAGAAUCCACUCCAUAUGGCAUGGCUCCUUGUGCUAAAUGCAAUUGUGGAGCCCCUUGUUAAAAAAUUAUUAAGCAUUUCAGAACAACAACUACAGAGCAUUUAACCAAAGGCAGGCCCCCUCUAAGACUGAGCCCUGUGAGGCUGCACAGGCCACACCCCAGGGAGCUGGGCCUGUCUGCUAUCAUGCAGAGGGCAGGGGUCGGGGAGCUGAAAGGUGAUUUCAGCUUUUCAGGUUUUAGGUUUGAACUGCUGGUAGCAGGUUGAUGGAGAUCUGAGGACCACUUACAUUUUCUAUAUCAUGACUUUGCUUCAGGCAAAAAAUUCAUACUAGCAGGAGGGAAUCUCCAGCCAUCUGAAACACAGGGAAUGCUGCCUACCUCAGAGAGAAUCAAUGAGAAAAGUAGAGGAAACAAGGCAUAAUUUUUAAGUGGCUGCUUAUCUUUGUUAGGGGGAAAAACACCAAAAACUAUCUUAAGCCAAAGAUAGAGUUUUUUCUGCUAAAUAAAUGGCUUUUCACUCCAUGAUAUAUGAUUUAUAACCAUUUUCAUUUGCUUAAGUUCAGCUUCCAUUUUAAAGAAAAGCUUUAGUUCCCAAGUUUCCAUUAAUACAUACCACACUGUGUACUGGUAUAAAUUAUGUGAAAUUGAAUUAUUUUUCAAUAAGCUGGGUUUCAUAAUUUUAUUGUCCAAUAAAUUCAAAGCUGAGAUUAAUAAGUAUUCUGUUAAAACCAGUGAGGGGAUAAUUUCAUUCCCAAGUAGAUAGUGUUUUGUAUGUCCAUGUUCAAACAUGAUGCAGAAAUUGAGUCCUGAUUUACCUCCCCACCUUGAACAGCUAAAAAACAGGACAAAAUACUUGAAACAAUGGCUUUAAGACAUGGGUCAAAGGAUACUAUGGGAAAUUGACCCUGAUAAGAAGGGGAACAAAAAAAGUGAACUCUAGGAUUGCUCCAGUUUCCUUUCUGGAGAGAGUCCGUGGGCUGUGACACAGGGAGGGGACCCAAACAGAGCCCAGCUAAUUGCACUGAGUUGAGGAAACAGAAUUCUGAGUUUGGGAAGACAAAGGUGCUGAAAUUCUCAGGAUGGAAUACCAAGAGGUAUGAGAAGAGUUGCACAGAGAGAGAGAGAGAGAGAGAGAGCUCUAGUGAUUUGUAGAGGGUCCCACCAAUUCAUCAGCAGAGUACUGACAGGCACAUGCCUAAGAGCAAUCUACUGAGGCCAAAGAAAAAAGCUCCAGGAAAGAGCAGGUGAAAUAAUUUCUGGUACUCGCACAGGCCCUGAAAGAGCAGGUACAGUGAGAAGGGGACAUUGCCUACUGAUAAAGGAAUUAGUACCUCAGGAGGAGCUAACAGUUUCAAAUACCUGUGCCCCUAGUAAGAGAAAUUCA